AUUGAUCAUGGCUCAGGAUGAACGCUAGCUACAGGCUUAACACAUGCAAGGUCGAGGGGUAGCAGGGUAGCAAUACCGCUGACGACCGGCGCACGGGUGAGUAACACGUAUCCAACCUUCCCAUAACUCAGGGAUAGCCUUUCGAAAGAAAGAUUAAUACCUGAUAGUACUUUUUCAAGGCAUCUUGAGAAAGUUAAAGAUUUAUUGGUUAUGGAUGGGGAUGCGUUCCAUUAGAUAGUUGGUGAGGUAACGGCUCACCAAGUCUUCGAUGGAUAGGGGUUCUGAGAGGAAGGUCCCCCACAUUGGUACUGAGACACGGACCAAACUCCUAUGGGAGGCAGCAGUGAGGAAUAUUGGUCAAUGGGCGAGAGCCUGAACCAGCCAAGUAGCGUGAAGGAAUGAAGGUCCUAUGGAUUGUAAACUUCUUUUAUAGUAGAAUAAAGUGAUCCACGUGUGGAUUUUUGUAUGUAUACUAUGAAUAAGGAUCGGCUAACUCCGUGCCAGCCGCCGC
rnacentral:rRNA from 1 species